UACGGAGGGGACUAGCGUUGUUCGGAAUUACUGGGCGUAAAGCGCACGUAGGCGGAUUUGUAAGUCAGGGGUGAAAUCCCGGGGCUCAACCUCGGAACUGCCUUUGAUACUGCAAAUCUCGAGUCCGGAAGAGGUGAGUGGAAUUCCUAGUGUAGAGGUGAAAUUCGUAGAUAUUAGGAAGAACACCAGUGGCGAAGGCGGCUCUCUGGUCCGGUACUGACGCUGAGGUGCGAAAGCGUGGGGAGCAAACAGG
rnacentral:rRNA from 1 species